GACGAACCGUCCGAACGUUAUUCGGAAUCACUGGGCUUACAGAGUUCGUAGGCGGUCUAGCAAGUUGGGUGUGAAAUCCCUCGGCUCAACCGAGGAACUGCGCUCGAUACUGCUAGACUCGAGGGAGAUAGAGGAAAGCGGAACUGAUGGUGGAGCGGUGAAAUGCGUUGAUAUCAUCAGGAACACCGGUGGCGAAGGCGGCUUUCUGGGUCUCUCCUGACGCUGAGGAACGAAAGCUAGGGUAGCGAACGGG
rnacentral:rRNA from 1 species